rnacentral:piRNA from 1 species
GCUGAGCUGCCAGGUGGGUGCUAGGAA